rnacentral:lncRNA from 1 species
GAAGAAAAGAAAGGGAAAAACAAAAAAGACACACCACCUGAUUUCAGGCACUGAAUUUAGGAAGCUUAUCUUGUUAGGCUUCUGUAGUAGAGGAGGCAAGGGCCAGAGGUGUGCUUCUAAGCCAUUGGCUGCUCUAAAUCACCCUCUGGGAAAACCUACUUUCUUUUGUUGUAAGGAAAGCUCAGGGGAAUGAACCAUCCAGGUCGGGUGGGUAAGUGUGCUAACAUGAAUACACCUCAGGUGGUUUUAUUUGGAGAAGAGAAACAGGAGGAUUAUAACCAUCUGAUUAGGGAAAAGAAAGCCUCCACUUUUUGUUUGCUGAUUGUGUGCAAGUGUGCAGUCAGUUUUGCUGACGUUCAUACAUGAGAGAUUCUGAAACAUGGGAGUAAUUUGAUGCAUACGCUUUGCUUGCUACAGUAAAUUACAGCCUUUCCUUGCCCAGGAGCUGAGCUAUAGUUUUUCUUCUGUUUCACAGUGUGAUACGUUGCCUUAAUUGCACCAUCUAUUGUGACAUUUUUGAUGCUUUUCAUUUUUGUCUUUCAUUGUGGGUGCUCCAACACGAGUAAAUGACACUACAGCAUUCAGAAAGCUUGUCAGGCUGUGUUCAGGUCAGCACUUCGUCAGUGACUGCUGUGAAAAAUAGUCAAUGAACAUCAAAGUUAUAGGACCUUGAAAAGGCAGUCAGGAGGAGCAGCCUGGAAAUCUGCAGAACAGAAGCACCUAAAGAGUGAGGCACAACAUGUGUUUUACUGGGCCUCCACCUCUUGCUUGGAUCCUUCUAGGUGGCUGUCAGGCAGACACCGAGCCAAGCUGAUGGCUUUCUGCUUGCAGAGGGAACAGCUCACAGGUAGCCUUACAGAUUCAGCAGGCUGCCCACCUCCUCCUUCAGAUGGGAAAGUCCUCACAGUUGUUUUCCCGCCAACCACGUCUGAACAUUGGAAUCUGCCCCAAGUUUCUGCGUGAGUUGAUGAGAAGAUGUGCUUUGGGCUGAUGCUAAUAAUUUUGAUUUCUGGGACUGGAAAUAAAGACAAAAAGGCACCUUAAUUCUAUCCACUAAAUCUUCUCAGAGGAAUUCUCUUGGCCUCUUCUGUUACAAGCAUCAUCCUUUGGUUUUCUCUUCAAAACUAUUUUAUAUACUGGGAGUCGUCAUCCCGGGAGGCAUGAACAAGAAUCUGGUGACAGGAGCAUCAUGAAGUUCAAGACUUCAAAUGUGAAGUCCUGCACCCUGUAAAUAGUGACACCAUGCAACAGUACAAACUGGGGACAGGCUGACUAGAAACUAGCUUUACAUAAGAGGACCUAGAGGUCCUGAUGGACAUCGAGCUGAAUGUGAGUCAAGAAUGUGCCACUGCGUGAAUGAGAGCCAAGCACAAAAGACACUGGGCUGCAUUAGUAACAGCAGAGGCAGUGGGUUGAGAUAGCCAGCAGAGGUGAAUAUUGCACCCCUCUGAGGAGAAGAAAAUCCCCCAGGCAAGCAGAGAGCAAGAUUGACAUUUCUCAUUAUUUCUGUACUCCAGGUAAUAUAUAUAAACUUUUUUUUUUUCCCUGGGAGCCCUUCAAACCAAGCAAAUGAAGACAUUUCUUCUGUACAGUCAACGACACUCCAAAAGGUCUGAUCUGCUCUCUGAAAUUUCCCCUGAUUUUGCUGUGGCCCUCAGGCUGUAACUCACUGAUCUCAGGCACACAACGUGGCUAUCCCAAAAUCUCAAGUUUUGCUUUGACCAAGUAUUUACCAUAACGAAUAGAAACUAUUCCUUGAACAACAACGUCUUUUACCACUUGCAAAUCUCCAUCUAAUCUGACUGUCCUUAUCUAUAAGCGGAGAGAAUGAAAAGCAGAGAUAUAAAACCCAAAGGUUAAGUACAUAUUUUUUGCAACUGUUUAAUGUUCAGCAUUCUCAUGCUGUGAAGAACAUGCAAAGUUUCUGCAUUCUUUCUAUUGGGUGCAUUCGUUACCAAAGCAGACUUGCUAUCGGUUUGGGAUGUAAACUGACCUGGUGUCACUGCAAUUUGCCUGUUUUCAUGUGUGUGCUUGGUUUGCUUUUGGCAUACAGGCACUUACGGCUGAUCCAAAGUCAUUCAAAAGCUCAGCAGAUGCUUCUGUGAAUCUCUUCUAUGUUUAGAAAUGGAAAUGAAGCACGAAACCAGGUGCUUUCUGUGCUGUCCUGAAUUAUGGAUUUUAUCCUUCAUGUUAUAACACAGUUUACUUGUCUUCUGGUUUAUCGUUUUUGAAGAAGGUAUGAGGUAAAAUACCAAGAUCUCCCUGACAAAGUCUUGUAGGACUCCAGGAACUGCUGUCUUCUGUACGGGUCCUCUCCAAUUCAACAGCACCCUUUCAGCUGACAUCAAAAGGGGUGAGUGAGGGCUGUGUGGAGUACAAGGAGCCAACACUGCUCAUAAGACAGAAAUUCGCCACUGAUUUUGUGAAAUUCUCUGUACUGGAUUAUGCAGGAGAUCAGAAAAGAAGAUUUUCGGAGUCUCUUCCUCUAACUCUUGCAACUUACUCUUGGGAACUGGUAUUAUCAGGCGAGUAUGGACUGGAUGAUCUCCAGAGGUCCCUUCCAACCACUGCGAUUCUGUGAUUCUGAUUCUAAUCUCACAGAGAAUAUGGGACUAAUAUUUCUAAGUUUAAGAAUCAGAGGGUUUUUUUCAAACCAUUUUAGGAGGAGGCAAGAAACACUUUGGUUUAGCUUUCUGGUCUGAAAAUAUCAAUAGUUUGUUGCAUUUUUGAAAAGAGCCACAGGAAUCAUAGAUCAAAGAACCAUAGAAUGGCUUGAGUUGGAAGAGACCACAAAGCCCACGCAGCCCCAACCCUCUGCCAUGGGCAGGGCUGCCCCCCACCAGCUCAAGCUGCCCAGGACCCCAUCCAACCUGGCCCUGAGUGCCUCCAGGGAUGGGGCACCCACAGCUUCUCUGGGCAGCUGUGCCAGGGCCUCACCGCCCUCUGAGUAAAGAUUUUCUGCCUAACAUCUAACCCAAAUCUCCCCACUUUUAGUUUAAAGCCAUUUUCCCUUGUCCUAUCGCUAUUAGACUGUGUGAGAUGUUGGUUCUCCUCCUGUUUAUAAACUCCUCUCAAGUACUGGAAGGCCACAGAGAGGUGUCCCCGGAGCCUUCUCUUCUCCAGGCUGAACAAGCCCAGCUCCCUCAGCCUUUCUUCACAGGAGAGGUGCUCCAGCCCUCUGAGCAUCUUCGUGGCCCUCAUCUAGACAUUCUCCAACAGCUCCACAUCUUUCUUGUGCUGGAGGCCCCAGGUCUGAAUGCAGUACUGGGCCUCAUGAAGGCAGAGCAGAGGGGAAUAAUCACCUUCCUCUCCCUGCUGGCCACCCCUCUGUUGAUGCUGACCAGGAUACUGUUGGCCUUCUGGGCUGCAAGAGCACACUGGUGGCUCAUGUCAAGCCUAUUAUCUAUCAGAGACCGUGGGUCCUCCUCCGCGGGGCUGCCCUCAAUGAGUUCUUCUCCCAGACUGUACACGUAUCAGGAAUUACCCUGACCUGAGUGCAACACCUUGGUCAAGCCAUUGCUCUCAUGGCUACGGGUUUGUUGUUUGGACACAAUAAUGUACAGAUGGGCUUUGCAUUUAUCAAGAAUAAUCACCAGCUGAGAUGCUGAGUGGAGGAAAACUAUUAUCGUCGUGACUGACCAGAGUCUGGCAGCAUUCUUUGUUGUUUGUGGCUUAUUCUUGAAAUUAGAUUUCAGAGACUAAACUGACCUCUCUGUAAGCUGAGCUCAGAAGAUGAAGGCCAAUAAUGGGAGAAGGAGCACAUCUCAAGGCAAAAGGUUUAACCGUCUGCCUCUUGGUAACCUGCAGGAAAUCCACCAAACAUCAUUUCAUUUGCAGUGAUUAAAGCCUGGAUGUUGGCAGAUGUGCACACACAUUCUUGCCCCACAGACCAAACAGAGCAACUUCAGAAGUGCAGCAGGAGUUCCUUUAAAACAGACUGGGAAGGAAAGGUGGGAAUGAACGAAACCUCUACCCCGUGCCUUAACACUUUUGAGUACGAUGUUGGUUUGCAAUGCUUACGUAUCACUUUGGACAUUACACAUUGGCACUGAGUACCUAAAACAAGAGACUUGAGCUUUCCAUUUGCUUUGCACAUCUGUUUUGUCGGGUCCUGUGCUCGUAGCAUCAUUUUUUCCCAGCUGCAGUAUCACAACUGGACACUAGAGAGCUCCUUUUACCAAAGACAUCUCUCCAACGUGAGGGCAGAGCCCUGUGAGGUUUUGCAGAGAAACACUCAUUAUUCUUGCAACAGAAUCUAGGGAAGCUCUGUCUCAGCAUACAUGACCUCUGCUGUACAAAGAAAAAGGUUGCGUUGUGCCUGAGGAACAAAGCUCUGGAAUUAAGUCUAUAACAGCUAAGAUAUGCUGGGCCACGGAGCAUCUUUGCAAGUCUCUAAACAGCCCACAGGAAAAUCUCAGAAGGACCCUGUGAGUGGCAGUUAUGUAAGAUGAAACUUGAGCCAAGCCGUUGGGUCCCAUAUUCCAGGGACGGGAGAAAAUGGCAGGUGUGAUGAGCUGGGGCUGUCUGCGUUCAUGGAGUUUCUGUGCUGUCUGGAGUUUCCUCACUUGGAAGGUUUCAUAUGUUGAUGUUUUGCAUUGCUCUGGACACAACGAAAAGUAGGAAAGCACAAACAAGUGAACCCAGAGCAUCAUAAAGCAGCCUAGAACUAAAUUUUUGGUCUAGUGGAGGCGACAGAAGACACCACUGAGAGGUUUCACUGAGCUUUAGUGACAGUGAGCACCCUGGAAAUGCUUGCAAAUUGGCUGGGUUUGAUGCCUGCUUCUUCCAGGCUGCAAAAGCUGUCCAGAAAUCUUCCAGAGUCCCACUGCAGGGACCCUAGGAGUGCUUCAGCAGAAUUGCAGAUGACUUCUGGCUUUGGCCCGUAGCCAUGGGAAAUGAGAAGAUCCAGAAUUAGGCAAAACUCAGUAUUUUCUUUCUAAUUGUUUAAAAAUACAGGUUAUAUGUUCCUAUUAGCUGAGAAGGAAGCUAGAGCGGCAUCAGGCUAGAGAAUGGAGUGCAGGUGUGCAUAAAGAAACAUAGAGAACUCACCUCCUUGGAGAGAAGAUGUGAUCCCAGAGCCUGGGAGGAAGGAGCCCUGUGGCACCCACUAACAGGAGGAGCUGCAAUCCUGAGCUUGUGUUUGCCUGCGGGGAGAACAGGAAGAACACUUGUAUGUCUCUAUAGAGCAUUUCAGGCAAGCCAGAAGUUUGUACUCAGGUAGAUGAAUAGUCAAGUAACAUUAGUAUAUGUAGCUCUUAUCAAUAACCUUGCCAAACUCAUUUUGUAACACAGCCGUAACCAUGCAACAAACUGCUAUGUGAGCUGAAACAGGACAGAGGGGAUUUUACUUGAAACAAAACAGGGUUUACACAUUCACAUACCUUCAUGCUUCCAAACACCAAAAUGGAUGGGUCCAGGUGCUCUGGCCCAGGUGACUUGUGGUGGUGAAGAUGGAAAGGGACAUCUGUAGGCAUCUCAACAUGUCGCCUAGGUUCUCCAUGGACUGGAAGCCAAGUGCUGCUCUUGGAUCUCCUAAGAGUUGACAGUGUGAUCUUUUGUUUCCUCAUCCUGUUCCACCCCUGGCUUAGUAUUUUCUUUUCUGUCCUUAUCUGGGUGUUUUAUGGCCCCUUGCCUGCUUUUUUCUUCCUUUCAUCACUUCUUGAGGGCUCUGGUUUAUUAGCCUGUCCUUCAUUUUGCUCGCUGUGUAGACUGUCUUCGGUUUUAGGAGGUUCUGGUUAGUCUCACACAGACCCGUUGUCACCUUGAUGACCUGCUGGCUGAGGUGCCAUCUGCACCUACCAUUCCGCUCUUCUCUCUGGCAUUCCCACACUUAGGUAAUCACUUUCAUUCAGAAAGUUCUUUAUAUUUUUAUUAAAAAUUCCUCACGCUUUGCAACAUAUGUUAUCUGUCUACAG